UACGUAGGGGGCAAGCGUUAUCCGGAUUUACUGGGUGUAAAGGGAGCGUAGACGGCUUUGCAAGCCAGAUGUGAAAGCCCGGGGCUCAACCCCGGGACUGCAUUUGGAACUGUGUGGCUAGAGUGUCGGAGAGGCAGGUGGAAUUCCUAGUGUAGCGGUGAAAUGCGUAGAUAUUAGGAGGAACACCGGUGGCGAAAGCGGCUCUCUGGCCUGUAACUGACACUGAGGCUCGAAAGCGUGGGGAGCAAACAGG
rnacentral:rRNA from 1 species